rnacentral:rRNA from 1 species
AGAGUUUGAUCAUGGCUCAGAACGUACGCUGGCGGCACGCCUAACACAUGCAAGUCGAACGAAGUAGCAAUACUUAGUGGCAGACGGGUGAGUAACAUGUAGGGUAUCUNCCCUUUGGCCUGGAAUAACACGAGGAAACUUGUGCUAAUACCGGAUAAGUCUUUACGGAGAAAGCUUUAUGCACCAUUGGAUGAGCCUGCACUUGAUUAGUUUGUUGGUGGGGUAAUGGCCUACCAAGACUGUGAUCAAUAGCUGAUUUGAGAGGAUGAUCAGCCACAUUGGGNCUGAGACACGGCCCAAACUCCUACGGGAGGCAGCAGUGGGGAAUCUUGCACAAUGGAGGAAACUC